rnacentral:rRNA from 1 species
GUGCCAGCAGCCGCGGUAAGACGAACCGUGCGAACGUUAUUCGGAAUCAUUGGGCUUAAAGGGCGCGUAGGCGGCGGUGUAAGUUGGAAGUGAAAUCCCAUCGGCUCAACCGUGGAAUUGCUCCCAGUACUGCAUCGCUCGAGGGGGAUAGGGGUUUGCGGAACUACCGGUGGAGCGGUGAAAUGUGUUGAUAUCGGUGGGAACGCCAGUGGCGAAAGCGGCAAACUUGACCCUUCCUGACGCUGAGGCGCGAAAGCUAGGGGAGCAAACGGGAUUAGAUACCCCCGUAGUCC